GCGGGACCGCGCCGCGGGGAGAGCCGCCCUCGCCGCCCGCCGCUCGGUGUCGCGCAGUGCGGACUUAAACACGGCGCGGCGUGACCUCCGGGGGGACGGGGCGGGGAGCUGCGGACCGAGGGCAGGGGCGGCCGGCGGGGAUAGGGACGAGGCGGCGCUGGGGCGGGCGGGGGGUCGGGUGCCGCAGUCCUUCCUCCUGCGGGUUGGAUGGUGGCUUCCUUUCGUCCGAGCGAUCGUUGUGACGUUUUAUUUUUCUGUGCUGAAGCGAGUUAAAGGCGGGAUCCAGAAAUGAGGAAGGUUUUGCUCGUGGAGCCGGUCAUUUUCGUCUACGUAUUCGCAACUUCCCUGACGAGCCCGGUGGUGCAGCAGUUCAUUUACCGAAAGCUGUGGGAAGAGGAGUACAACUCCACCGCCAUCAGCAGCGACAACAGCAGUCACUGUGAGCGAAACAAGAGCAGCCCGACUUAUGUCAUGCAGAAGGGAGUUCAAGAAAAGACUUCUUUUUUUAACAUGCAGCUGGACUUAACAGGGGCAGUUCCCAGCCUGAUAGUUGCUUUUAUCAUUGUAGCUAAUGGGGAUCACCAGGGACGAAAAAAGUCUUUGGUUUUACCAUCGACUGGAGCUUUGAUUGCAGAUAUUUUCCUCACUAUAAUAUCAUACUUCUCCUUGCCAAUCUCUGUCCUGUUUUUGGUUACAUUUAUUUCAGGACUGUUUGGGAGUAUGGCAACUUUCCUUGGAGGAGGCUUUGCUUAUAUAGCAGAUCAGUGUCAUGAUGAGAAACAGAAAACAACACGAAUAGCUGUGGUUGAUUUAAUUUAUGGAGUUGUAUCUGGAUUGGCAGGACUGUCUUCUGGGUACUUUUUAAGAGAAAUGGGCUUUACAUGGACAUUUGUGACAGCAUCUCUACUUCAUGUUGUUAACAUUAUCUAUAUUACUUUUUUUCUGGAAGACACAGUGCACAUAUCUGAAUUCCAGCAACAGGCACCAUUAUCUUAUAAAGAAUAUCUAAAAGAAACAAUUUCUGGAGUGUACAUGCUUUUUAAAACUGCCCCUUCUAAAAAGAGAAUUUUAAUCAUUGUGUUACUUUUUAUAUUUAUGACUUAUUUAUUUACUAUGUUUGGGGGGAGUUCCCUUUUUACACUGUAUGAACUGGACGAGCCACUGUGCUGGACUGAAGUGUACAUUGGAUAUGGAGCAGCUGCAUUCACUUCUGUCUCUCUGACCAGUUUUUUGGGAGUUUACUUGUUUUCUAAAUGUCUCAAAGACAUUUACAUUGUAUUUAUUGGGAUAUUUUCUUACAUUGGAGGAAUUGUCAUGGCUGCCUUUGCCAAAACAACCCUGCUCAUGUUUUUAGUAAGAGUGCCAUCUUUAUUCUGCAUUAUGCCUAUUCCUGUUCUCCGAUCCAUGCUGUCAAAAGUGGUUCUCCCCAGUGAGCAGGGUGCUGUGUUUGCUUGUAUUGCCUGUUUAGAAAUUUUGACUGGCACUAUUUCACUUUCAGUCUUUAAUGUUAUCUAUGCAGCUACAGUUGCAUGGUUUUCAGGCUUUAGCUUCCUCUUGUCAGCCAGCCUGUGUCUAAUUCCACUGGGCGUACUGUGCUGGCUUCUGUGCACAAGCUGGAAUGAGGAGGACUUGGCUCUGCUUGUACCUGAAGAAGUAUCCAGCAUAGACAGCGUUGAUAGUUGAACAGAGGAGUCACCAACCAUUUGGCUUUUGUAAUCUGAUGUGCUGGGUCAAAGGCCAUUGUGUCACACUGACACCAUAGAGAUAAUUCAUGAGUUGCAGAUGAAAUCUAAAACUGGCCCUGUAGCACUAAGCACUGAAUUGAUAGCACUCUACAUCCAGUCUUUUUUUAGCACUUGAAUGAACCUAUCUCCUGUACUUAACUACGCAGAUAGGCCAGCAAUGGAGAUUUUAAUGCUGCUUUCAGCACGGAGAAAAAAAAUAAGAGAAACAGAAAUCAACAGAGAGGAGAAGUGACUUGCCCUGGGCAACUGUGCAAAUCAUGAAGAGCUCUAAACCUAGAAAUCAGUUUUUGUGUUGAUUCUUCAGCUUUUUCCUUGAGAUCUAUAGGCAGAAAGUAGCCAGAGUAUUAGCUUUUGGAAUGCGUAGCAUAGCAGAAGUGGGAAUAAUAAAAAGUGGGAAUAAACACCCUGUGAAAGAUCACUCCCAUGUGUUAUUUUACGAGAGAGUUUUAUAGCCAGAAUUGUCCUGAUCCCUGAAAGGAGAGAUAAGUUGUAUGUGACUAUCUUCCCCAAAAAGGAAUAGUUAGAAAAAUCAAAAUGUAUCAGGAGACAGAUUGUUAUUGCCAAGAAUACUUCUGCAGAGCUCCUCAGUGGCACUCUGCCAAAAAAUAUUAGUACGUCAUAGCAAUGCUAUCAUGGAUCCUUUUUGUUUGAAAGGCAGUGUUGUUUUCAUGAUGUGUAUCUUGACCAAUGAGAAGACUGAAUGGUCAAAUAAGGUAGAGUGAAGUUGGCACUGUCUGGCAGUCCAUAGAAUCACACAACAAAAAAAUGGGUUGAGUUGGAAUGGAGCUUACAGCCCACCCAGCCCCAGCCCCUGCCAUGGGCAGGGACACCUCCCAGCAGCUCAGGCCAUCCAGGACUGCAUCCAG